GACGUAGGGGGCGAGCGUUGUCCGGAUUUAUUGGGCGUAAAGCGUGCGUAGGCGGCUGCGCAAGUCGGUUGUGAAACCCCGGGGCUCAACCCCGGAACUGCAUCCGAUACUGCGUGGCUAGAGGUAAGUAGGGGAGAUCGGAAUUCCUGGUGUAGCGGUGAAAUGCGCAGAUAUCAGGAGGAACACCGGUGGCGAAGGCGGAUCUCUGGGCCUUACCUGACGCUGAGGAGCGAAAGCGUGGGUAGCGAACAGG
rnacentral:rRNA from 1 species